rnacentral:lncRNA from 1 species
UGUGUGUGUGCGCGCGCGUGCGUGCAUGCGUGCGCGUGCAUGCAUGCGUGUCUAUGCAUGUGUGUCUGUUUGUCUGGAAAUCAACCAGGUCUUGUGCUUUACUGUGCACCAUACCCACAGCUCUCUUUGCCUGAUGGAGCAACAGGACUAGGUUUGCUGUGUCAUGUGAAAAAGCCUGGCAAAAUAAAGCAAGCAGCAGCUCCCAGCAGUUCAGGAUGGGCAAGGACAGGCAGGGCAUCGGCCCCAAGCAGAGGUGGAGCUAGGUGUCCAGGGACAGGGCCUGAAGUUCCCCUUGAGUGUCCAGUCUGUGAGCAGCGUCAUAUGGGGAGAAAGCACCCACGGCUGGAUAGGGACUGCUUGGAAGUAGUAGCAGCAGGUGGACCCUUGGUGCCCACAGAGGAUCAGGAGCAGUUUGUGACAACCCUGGUCACAGGGCAGCAGGUGGGGCUUUGGAAGGAGUUGUCUCAGCAGGAGCCCAGAGACCGCUGUGGUCCCCAGCCCUGCCUCAAAGCUUCUGAAAGGGAAAGGGAAUAACACUCGGAAUGUAUAUAAGAAAUACUCAAGUUAAUUAAAAAAAAAAAAAA